rnacentral:misc_RNA from 1 species
CCGAACCGUUGACACGAGCUGUUGCUGGCCCUCGAAAGGGGGUGUGUGCACGCUCUGUUUACACAUCCACUCACACCUGUGCACCCUCUGUAGUUCUGUGGCCUUGGGGACUCUGUUCCCUUGCUGUGGUCCUACGUCUUUACACACACACUGUAAUAAGGUCUCAUGGAAUGUACGUCGCGUUUAACGCAAUACAAUA